rnacentral:rRNA from 1 species
UACAGAGGUGGCAAGCGUUGUUCGGAAUUACUGGGCGUAAAGGGCGCGUAGGCGGUCUUGUAAGUCUUGUGUGAAAUCCCUCGGCUUAACUGAGGAACUGCACGGGAUACUGCGAGACUUGAGAUCGGGAGAGGGAAGCGGAAUUCCGGGUGUAGCGGUGAAAUGCGUAGAUAUCCGGAGGAACGCCGGUGGCGAAGGCGGCUUCCUGGACCGACACUGACGCUGAGGCGCGAAAGCCAGGGGAGCAAACGGG